GCCGAUGUGGCUCAGUGGUAGAGCAAGCUUGAUUCGUAAUCAGCAGGCCGUGGGUUCAAAUCCCAUCAUCGGCU
rnacentral:tRNA from 1 species